GGUUCCGUAGUGUAGUGAGAUUUAUCACGUUCGCUUCACACGCGAAAGGUCCCGGUUCGAUCCCGGGCGGAACCA
rnacentral:tRNA from 1 species